AAACUAGGAUUAGACCCUAUUAUUUAAAGCUUGGUAUUGUUAGUAAGUAAAAUUUAUGAAAGCAUAAAAUUUUGGCGGUAUUUUAAGCUUUUUAGAGGAAUUUGCUCUGUAAUGGAUAAAACGCCUGUAUCUUACUUAAUUUUGUUAGCAGUUUGUAUACCACUAUAUUUAAUUAUAUUAAAUGGUUAUAUUUAAGAUUUUUUUAUUGAAAAGUAUAUUAAGUCAAGGUGCAGCUUAAAAUUAUGAAUGAAGUGAAUUACAUUGAUUUUUAUUAAUUUUAAUUUGAAAAUAGAUUAGGAUUUAAAAGUAAAAUGUUAAUAUGAUGAGCAUUUGAAUAAAGCUCUAGAAUAUGCACAUAUCGCCCGUCGCUCUCAAAUUAUGAGAUAAGUCGUAACAUAG
rnacentral:rRNA from 1 species